CCUACGGGUGGCAGCAGUGGGGAAUAUUGCACAAUGGGGGAAACUCUGAUGCAGCGACGCCGCGUGAGUGAAGAAGUAAUUCGGUAUGUAAAGCUCUAUCAGCAGGGAAGAAAAUGACGGUACCUGAGUAAGAAGCCCCGUCUAACUACGUGCCAGCAGCCGCGGUAAUACGUAGGGGGCAAGCGUUAUCCGGAUUUACUGGGUGUAAAGGGAGCGUAGACGGCAGUGCAAGUCUGAAGUGAAAGGCUGGGGCUCAACCUCGGGACUGCUCUUGAAACUGUACGGCUGGAGUGCAGGAGAGGUAAGUGGAAUUCCUAGUGUAGCGGUGAAAUGCGUAGAUAUUAGGAGGAACACCAGUGGCGAAGGCGGCUUACUGGACUGUAACUGACGUUGAGGCUCGAAAGCGUGGGGAGCAAACAGGAUUAGAUACCCUAGUAGUC
rnacentral:rRNA from 1 species